GAUGAACGCUGGCGGCGUGCCUAAUACAUGCAAGUCGAGCGAACGGACGAGAAGCUUGCUUCUCUGAUGUUAGCGGCGGACGGGUGAGUAACACGUGGAUAACCUACCUAUAAGACUGAGAUAACUUCGGGAAACCGGAGCUAAUACCGGAUAAUAUUUUGAACCGCAUGGUUCAAAAGUGAGAGACGGUCUUGCUGUCACUUAUAGAUGGAUCCGCGCUGCAUUAGCUAGUUGGUAAGUUAACGGCUUACCAAGGCAACGAUGCAUAGCCGACCUGAGAGGGUGAUCGGCCACACGGGAACGUAGACACGGUCAAGACUCCUACGGGAGGCAGCAGUAGGGAAUCGUCCGCAAUGGGCGAAAGCCUGACGGAGCAACGCCGCGUGAGUGAUGAAGGUCUUCGGAUCGUAAAAAUCUGUUAUUAGGGAAGAACAGAUGUGUAAGUAACUGUGCACAUCUUGACGGUACCUAAUCAGAAAGCCACGGCUAACUACGUG
rnacentral:rRNA from 1 species